rnacentral:misc_RNA from 1 species
GAUGAAGAACGUAGCGAAAUGCGAUAAGUAAUGUGAAUUGCAGAAUUCAGUGAAUCAUCGAAUCUUUGAACGCACCUUGCGCCCUUUGGCCAUUCCGAAGGGCAUGCCUGUUUGAGUAUCAUGAACACCUCAACUCUUCAUGGUUUUCCGUGAUGAGCUUGGACUUUGGGGGUCUUGCUGGCCUAUGGUCAGCUCCUCUAAAAUAAAUCAGCUUGCCAGUGUUUGGUGGGUACCACAGGUGUGAUAACUAUCUACGCUUGUGGUUUUCCACCAGGUAACCUUCAGCAGUGGAGGUUCGCUGGAGCUCACAGAUGUGUCUCUCCUCAGUGAGGACAGCUCUUUGAAUGUUUGAUCUCAAAUCAGGUAGGACUACCCGCUGAACUUAAGCAUAUCAAUAAGCGGAGGA